rnacentral:lncRNA from 1 species
GACUGGGCUGAGUUUGUGGCGCGCUUAGUGAUGGGAGGGCGCUGUGCAGGACGCCGACACGAAAAGAUGAAGAGUUCAAUCCGUGCUGUCUGAACUCACAGUGUAGCGGGCGAGAUAGACGGGAAGAUCGGUAGGGUGGGAGAUGCCGGAAAGGCUUCCCGUGAAACUGGAUAAGAAAUCAAAAAUCUGGUGAAAUUGCCGGCAGGAGGGAGUUAAGGACAUUCCAGGCAGAGGCAAGGGAACUGCCUUCAGCUCCCUGCAACAGAAGAACCCAAAAGGGUGGACCUGAAGGAGGAGGGCUGCAGGCAUUUGCCUCAGCGGAGAGGCUGCUCUGUGGAGGGGACGCAUAGUGGCUGAGCACUGUUCCAGCCGACCACCCUGUGCUUCUGCAUUGAGGAUGAGGAUGCCGAGGUCAUGGGAUUUAUCCAAGAGACUUGGUGAAUUCAGUAGUCUGGGCUACAGUGAUCGUCUAAUCAGUAAUAGGAGAGAAAUCAGUAAUAAUAAUAGAAUAAGAGGAGAAUUCCUCAUAUUCCCAAAGAUACACUGAACCCUCCUCCCGA